rnacentral:rRNA from 1 species
UUUCGCAAUGCCCGAAAGGGUGACGAAGCGACGCCGCGUGUGGGAAGAAGGCCUUCGGGUUGUAAACCACUGUCGGGAGUUAAGAAAUACAAGGAUAUUAAUAGUGUCUUUGUUUGACUAAGGCUCUGGAGGAAGCCACGGCUAACUCUGUGCCAGCAGCCGCGGUAAUACAGAGGCGGCAAGCGUUGUUCGGAAUUAUUGGGCGUAAAGAGCACGUAGGCGGCUAUGUAAGUCGGUUGUGAAAGCCUUCCGCUCAACGGAAGAACAGCAUCCGAUACUACAUGGCUUGAGUGCGGGAGGGGAGAGUGGAACUUCUGGUGGAGCGGUGAAAUGCGUAGAUAUCAGAAGGAACGCCGGUGGCGAAAGCGGGUUGCUGGAUCUCCACUGACGCUGAGGCGCGAAAGCCAGGGGAGCAAACGGGAUUAGAUGCCCCGGUAGUCCUAGCCGUAAGCGAUGGGCACUAAGUAGAGGGGUUUU